rnacentral:tRNA from 1 species
GAGGGUAUAGCUCAGUGGCAGAGUGCAUGCCUGGCAUGCCUGAGGUUUAGGGUUCAAUCCUCCGUACCUCCA